rnacentral:rRNA from 1 species
GGUUUAAUGCGAUAAUACGCGCGAAAUCUUACCAGCUUUUGAAUUCUAAAAAAUAUUAUUUUAACAGAAGUCGAUAAUUUACUUAAAUAAAGUUUUAAGUAAACUUUUAGAACAGGUGUUGCAUGGCUGUCGUCAGCUCGUGUUGUGAAAUGUUUGGUUAAGUCCUUUAACGAGCGCAACCCUUUUUUUAGUUGCUAACAGAUACUCUAGAAAUAAAUUUACGAUGAGUAAAUGGAAGAAGGAUGACGUCAAGUCCUCAUGGCCCUUAUAGGCUGGGCUACACACGUGCUACAAUGGUAAUCACAGAAGGAAGCAAAUAUGAAAAAUUGGAGCAAAUCCCUAAAAAUUAUCUUAGUUCGGAUUAUAGACUGCAAUUUGUCUAUAUGAAGUUGGAAUCGUAAGUAAUCGC